CCGGAGCUAAUACCGGAUAACAUUUGGAACCGCAUGGUUCUAAAGUGAAAGAUGGUUUUGCUAUCACUUAUAGAUGGACCCGCGCCGUAUUAGCUAGUUGGUAAGGUAACGGCUUACCAAGGCGACGAUACGUAGCCGACCUGAGAGGGUGAUCGGCCACACUGGAACUGAGACACGGUCCAGACUCCUACGGGAGGCAGCAGUAGGGAAUCUUCCGCAAUGGGCGAAAGCCUGACGGAGCAACGCCGCGUGAGUGAUGAAGGGUUUCGGCUCGUAAAACUCUGUUAUUAGGGAAGAACAAAUGUGUAAGUAACUGUGCACGUCUUGACGGUACCUAAUCAGAAAGCCACGGCUAACUACGUGCCAGCAGCCGCGGUAAUACGUAGGUGGCAAGCGUUAUCCGGAAUUAUUGGGCGUAAAGCGCGCGUAGGCGGUUUCUUAAGUCUGAUGUGAAAGCCCACGGCUCAACCGUGGAGGGUCAUUGGAAACUGGGAAACUUGAGUGCAGAAGAGGAAAGUGGAAUUCCAUGUGUAGCGGUGAAAUGCGCAGAGAUAUGGAGGAACACCAGUGGCGAAGGCGACUUUCUGGUCUGUAACUGACGCUGAUGUGCGAAAGCGUGGGGAUCAAACAGGAUUAGAUACCCUGGUAGUCCACGCCGUAAACGAUGAGUGCUAAGUGUUAGGGGGUUUCCGCCCCUUAGUGCUGCAGCUAACGCAUUAAGCACUCCCCCCU
rnacentral:rRNA from 1 species